CAUGAAUGCUGCCUCAUCUGCUGUGUAGGGUAAAGAUUUGCUUUCCAUAUUUGCACUGACAUCUACAGUCUGUGUCUGCAGUCUUCUCUGAUGCCUCAGAACUAUAUCCAAAGGCUGCCAUUGUCGUACAGCUUAUAUAAGAAAAUCCUUAUCUUGGCUUUACAAUUAACACAGAAGUUCUAAAUGGCAAUAUUGAUGAGUUUGGAUAGAGAAGCAGAAGUCUAGAGAAAAUGUGAAUGAUUCUCUAUUUUUUUAAAGGCAGGCUUAGUGAAAUUUAUACCACUGGAUCCAAUCCCAUUAAAAUGGGUUGUAAAAAAAUAAAGUUUCCAUGCUGCUAAGCUGCUUUUAUGUGGCCGUGGCAUCUCUGCACGCAGCAUGUAUGUUUGGGAUGCUUCGACUCCCAGUCAGGCUUGUGCGAAGGUAGACCUCACAUCUGCUGUCUGCACUUAGGCAUCUUCCAAGAGAAACACCCGCCAACUCAAUCAUUGUCUGACCAAGAGACACUGGAGCCCUCAGAUGGGAAAAAAGGCAAAGUUAAAUCAAGCACAGUUUCAUAAAUACCUGUGACUCAUCGUGAAACCCACGCAGCAGAAAACUGACAGCAGGAACAGAGGAUGCUGACCUAGUUUGCCAGAACAAAGCCCCACUGAUCUUGGAUGCCAAUAGCUCUUCAUUUGUUCACAUAGAAGAAAAUUAGAAGGAGGAGGAGGAGAGAAGAAAGCUCUGUCAUCAAGUAUUCCCAGGGGACAUGGCAGAAAGAACCUGAAUUCAUCAUGAGAAAGGAACCCAUCAUGAGGAAGCAACCUUUGAAAGCAGCCACCAGGCAAGGGGCAUCUGAGGUGGGCACUGCAAGCAUGUUCAAGAAAACACCUCUUCUGCCAGCAAGAAGCGCCCCUGCCCAGUGGAGGAUGAAUCAAAUUCCACCAUCUUUAAUCUGGCUACACCAUAUUUGGAUAAUAAUCCUGAAAUUCACAUUGAUGCUGAAGAAGUCGCUUCUUCAAAACUUUAAGGCAACAAUUAAGUAUUCCAUUGUCAUGGCUCAAUUAAAUGGUUUGGCCUGAGAAAAUUGGGGAUUGUAAAGUGAGGAUGGAAUGUGCUUUGAUCCUUUUUCCAGGGUUAUUGUUUCAUUAAUAAAUGAACAUGUCAUUUGUCUCACCAGAGGGAGCUCAUGCCCUCCAGGCUUUUUUCCCUUUUUUGUUCAGGUUUUAUAAAGAUGAAUUUCCAGUGCUCUGAAAUACCAUGGAUUAGUAGUUAAGCCUGACAGCACUUCGGGGAGUAGCGAGCUUAAAGUGCCUCACACAGGUCUCCAAAGCACUUGUUUACUAAUAGAGGAAAUCAGCAACCGUCUGCAGCUGCUGAUAUCGCAUUACCAUUUGGAAAGACAGUAGCUGAGAUAACAAAUCACACAGUUUUAAUAAUUACUCCUGCAUUCCCGUUUUUUGUUUCCUGCAUAACUGUAAAGGCUGGAUUUCUUCCAAAUAAACAGAUAAAAACAGUAUGGAACUUUUAUCUUUUAAUGAUAAUGACAACACAUCAUGUUUCACUAAAAGUUUCCUGCUAAAUUUUUUCUGAUUUCUAGAGUUUCAAUAAAAUGUAAUUAUACUUUAUAAUUCCAUUCUUUUAAUCUUCACUUCAAAAACUAUUCACAGUGAGCAAGUUUGCCAGGCACCAAGAGUAGGGGCCAAACUGCUUGGACUUACCCAUGUUGACUAUCUCCUGCUUUCUGUCUUGGAGUAAACCUGUCAUUGAAAUUGCAUCCUGUACAUUGAGCUGCUUUGCAUUCAAAUUAAUAGCUAGUUUAAUUUGAAUGUAAAAUAGCUACAUUUAUGCCAUCAUUAAAAAAAAAGAAGUAAGGCAUUUGGCAAUGAAUGGAUGUUUAAGAUAUGAUACAUUUGCAACAUAUUUUUAAUCCCAAAUUGAACUUUUAUUAGGAUGGGGACAUUUUAAUAUCAAUAGUUAAGUCAUAAAAGAAGCCCUUUUAAAAAUCUGCAUAGUAAAUAUGUGCUUUGGGGGUCAAAACUACUCCAUUGUACAGAUACAGUACAGGGUUUAGUUCGUAUGGUUGGUACUGGGUAUUUUCCGGCAAAUCUGUGCAUUGUUACAUUUCUAUAGUCCAAGAUAGCAAUUGAUUUUUAAAACACAUGCUGCAACUUUAUUUGCUCUGUAAUUACAUGGACUUUAUUUGGAGGUCAGCGAAGGAACAACUAAAUAGGAAAAUGAAGUCUUCCUCCCUUGUGCAAUGAAACCAUAAAAGUUGGCAGACAGAAAGGAAUGCUAAACUUUUUCCCAGAGCUCUGAGUUUGGUUUCCACUGGUCCAUGUUCCAUUGGGUGAUUAGAGAAAGCUUUUUUAAAGCCUUACUUCAGAAUGAUCUUAAUUGGUGCAAGGUUGAGCCCUUUCUAGGAGGGGAGGGAAAAGGUUGAAUAGCCUUUUCAAGUCACAUGAAAGUUUCUAGGAUGAAUGUACGAUAAUUAGAUUAAUAAGUAGCUUAAUUUAUCACAGCUGAGGAUUUCAACAGCCACACAUUAGAGGAAGAAAAAAAGAUUAGUGUGAUUCCAGUUUGUAAAAAAAAAAAAAAAAAAAUUGUACUGAAACUUGAUUAACCUUAAACACAAAGUGCCUUUCUUUCUGUCUAAAUGUCUAACCGGGGGGAGGGGUAUGGAGUGGGCAAGUCAGGGAGAGGACCUGAAAUCAUCAAAAAAAAGUCCUAUUUUAUUCCUUUUUGUCUCCCAGUUAAUGAGCAGUAUCAGGAUGCCUUGAACCAACUUUUCUUUUUCCAUUUCUUAUCCUUAAAAUGAUGGACUGACCAGAAGCCUGCAGAAUCUUAAAUUAUGUUGCCCGCCCACAUCAUAGAGAUCUGUCUUUUCUGAUGUACAAUUUAUCAUAAGCGGGGUCACUCGUCUCCGUUGAGAAAAAGAAAGGGAGUGCAAUUGGGAGGACACCAUAAGUUUGGUUAGUCUGCAGCAGGAACAUUGAGGAUGAGCUUGUUGGAUGACAUCUCCAGUUAUCUCAAGGCUGAAAAGUCUGAAUUUAGACCCAUGCCUUCAAAACUCAUAA